GAUGAACGCUGGCGGCGUGCCUAAUACAUGCAAGUCGAGCGAACAGACGAGGAGCUUGCUCCUCUGACGUUAGCGGCGGACGGGUGAGUAACACGUGGAUAACCUACCUAUAAGACUGGGAUAACUUCGGGAAACCGGAGCUAAUACCGGAUAAUAUAUUGAACCGCAUGGUUCAAUAGUGAAAGACGGCUUUGCUGUCACCUAUAGAUGGAUCCGCGCCGCAUUAGCUAGUUGGUAAGGUAACGGCUUACCAAGGCAACGAUGCGUAGCCGACCUGAGAGGGUGAUCGGCCACACUGGAACUGAGACACGGUCCAGACUCCUACGGGAGGCAGCAGUAGGGAAUCUUCCGCAAUGGGCGAAAGCCUGACGGAGCAACGCCGCGUGAGUGAUGAAGGUCUUCGGAUCGUAAAGCUCUGUUAUUAGGGAAGAACAAAUGUGUAAGUAACUAUGCACGUCUUGACGGUACCUAAUCAGAAAGCCACGGCUAACUACGUG
rnacentral:rRNA from 1 species